rnacentral:sRNA from 1 species
GCUGAUCAUCUUCGUUGGAUUUUUGGCCGCUUAGCAGGUAGGUUUAUUAGCAUCUCCAGGGACAGUUGAAAGCCUCGUUGAUCAUUUUCGUUGGAUUUUUGGCCGCUUUGCAGGUAGGUUUAUUAGCGUCUCCAGGGACAUUUGAAAGCCUCGUUGAUCAUUUUCGUUGGAUUUUUGGCCGCUUAGCAGGUGAGUGUAUGUUGUGAACUUUUGCUGGUUUCUAUUUAGCUACUAAUUAGAUGAUUCUUUUUACUUUUCUCAUUUCAGGUAGGUUUAUUAGCAUCUCCAGGGACAGUUGAAAGCCUCGUUGAUCAUUUUCGUUGGAUUUUUGGCCGCUUUGCAGGUGAGUGUAUA